rnacentral:rRNA from 1 species
AACGAUGAAGCUUCUAGCUUGCUAGAAUGUGGAUUAGUGGCGCACGGGUGAGUAACGCAUAGGUUAUGUGCCUCUUAGUUUGGGAUAGCCAUUGGAAACGAUGAUUAAUACCAGAUACUCCCUACGGGGGAAAGAUUUAUCGCUAAGAGAUCAGCCUAUGUCCUAUCAGCUUGUUGGUAAGGUAAUGGCUUACCAAGGCUAUGACGGGUAUCCGGCCUGAGAGGGUGAACGGACACACUGGAACUGAGACACGGUCCAGACUCCUACGGGAGGCAGCAGUAGGGAAUAUUGCUCAAUGGGGGAAACCCUGAAGCAGCAACGCCGCGUGGAGGAUGAAGGUUUUAGGAUU